ensembl:piRNA 21ur-610 ncRNA
UAGUCCAACGAGAUGUCAAGG